ACAGCACCCACCUCAAAGCAGCACCAUAAUUUCUGCUGGUCACUCGCAGGAGUUGGAAAUACAGCAAAAUGCAUAUAUAUUCUGUGAAGCGCUUUGAGACAUCUAGAAGACGUGAAAAAUUUAAACUCAUCUUGUUCUUCAGUAUAUUCCGUGAAAUGCUUUGAAGACGUG